rnacentral:rRNA from 5 species
UCUGGUAAUGAUGGCAGAGAGGUCACACCCGUUCCCAUACCGAACACGGAAGUUAAGCUCUCUAGCGCCGAUG